AGGCCAGGAGGCGGGUAGAUUCCUCCUCCUCUCUAGAUAAUUUAAACAGUCCAUCCCUCCUUCCCACAGGAGGCUGUCGAGGAGAGCCAGAAUAAAAUUCCAGAGCGGUGGGCAGAGCUUGAGUCAUUGGUGGCGGGGCCAGAUUGCACACAAUUCUUUGUAUCUUUGUAGACAAUGCUACAUAUGUACAAAAUAAACCCCAAGAUGUUAGUACAUCAAUCGAGGAAAAUUAUCAAACUACAUAAAUAACAUGGUGUAAUUUGAUUUUGAUAUAAUUUUUUUAUCUUGAUGGAUUGAAAAUUAACACCGAUGAGUUGACUGAUGAAUAUUAUGACAUAAUAUAAAUAACGACAAAUAAAUAUAGAAUACUAUUAACCGCAACAUGUAAGUGUAAAAAAAAAAAAAAAAAAAAAAAUUAUGAUUUGUACAUUUUUAGAAUGUGCUUGUUCUAUUUUUAAACAAAGAAAACAAUCUGAAGUUUUCUUUAUUUUUAAGUUAUCGUGCUGUGAUUUUACCAGUCCGGCCCACUUGGGAGUAGAUUUUUCUCCAUGUGGCCCCCGAUUUAAAAUGAGUUUGACACCCCUGCUUUAAACCGACAAACACAAAUCCUCCACUUUAAGAUUUUACAGGAGAUGCCAGCCACCUCAAUGAGAACACCUGUGACAGCACAUGCUGGACUACAGAGCCGGCCCAAUGCAUAAGCGUACUAAGCGCUUGCUUAGGGCCCCGCGGCCACCAGGGGGCCCCCAAAAGCAAUUAACAAAAAAUUCUUAUUUUUUAUUUUUUGCAUGUACGAGUCUGACUGAUGAUUUCUAAAUGAUCAAAGAUAUAUUAUUGUACAAAAACACAAUUUUAGGUCAACAGAGUGCUGCUGCUGAUCUAGGCCUAGUGAUUCUUCCUGCCUCUCUUUAAAUGUAAAGCUGCCUCUGCUGCACCUGUGACGUUUGCCGCACUGGGCAUCAAAAGCGCAGAUAGAGGCAAAACAAUGUCACAAAAAAGAACAUAUCCUUCAGGUGCAGAAAAAAGGAAGAAGAAGAAAGUGGAAGAGGAGAAAAAAUGCCAUGAUAAAGGUAUGUUUGCUUGACUUGGUAAUAAAAAGUUUAUCAAAGAGAUUUGUAGCUGUAAUUAGCUUUAGCUAGGUGACGUUAGCUAGCUAGCGCGGUGCUAGCAAUAUGUUUUUAGCAUCAGGUUACUAGUGAGAUAUGUUAUUUGCACAAAUUGUUUGCAGCAGAGCACGGUAAUUUAUGUGAGUAAAAUAAACAUUAUUUUUUACAUCAACUCAUAAGUUAUGUGAAACUUCCCCAGGAGCAUUGUUAAAAUACUUUGGAGGCACAGAAUCAGCCCAGAGCCAGUCCACAUCCUCAGGCUCAACUGUGAGUGAUGAAUCAGGUCCAUCUCCAUCCUCUACAGUGCUCUCUCACACACCUCCAUCCUCUGUGCCCACUGUCCCCUCCAUGUCUGAAACCACAGCUGAUUUAUCUACAAUUUCCACCACAACGUCCUCUUCACACCAUGGAGCAUCAUCAGCUCCGCCAGUUGACCCAGCUGAGUGGCCUUCUUUCCUCUCAGAUUCAGACAGGACUGAGCAGGUGAUCAGAGGACCACUGUCUAUUAAGGAGAACUUUUCAUUCCCCAAACGGCAUGAUGGCCGAAGUUUUCAUCAUCAUUAUACCUACAGACAGCUAGUCAAUGGGGAAAAAGUCAAGCGUAGCUGGCUGACUUAUUCAAAAAGGAAAGAUGCAGUCUAUUGCUUUUGCUGAAAAUUAUUUUCCAAAAAGUCCUUAAAACUGGCAGCCGAGGGACAGCGGGAUUGGGUCAACAUAGGUGCACUGCUGAAACAGCAUGAAAACACUGAAGAUCAUUGUAGCAACAUGGUGAAAUGGAAGGAAUUUGCCUUGCGUCUUUCAAAGGGGAAAACUAUUGAUGAGACAGAAAUUGGCCUCCUGGAGGCAGAAAAGAAUUGCUGGAGAGACGUUCUCACACGCUUAGUCACUAUUAUCCAGUCACUGGCAGAAAGGAACCUGGCACUGAGGGGAUCUGUUGACACAUUACAUCAGGCGAACAAUGGGAACUUUCUAAAAGAAGUGGAACUGAUUGCUAAAUUUGAUCAUGUGUUGAAAGAUCACGUGAGACGCAUUGACAGUGGAGCAGAGCAUAUCACAUACUUGGGGAAAACUAUUCAAAAUGAGUUGAUAACCUGUAUAAGUGAUAAAAUAGUGGAGACAAUGGUGUCUGAAAUCAAACAGUCAAAAUACUAUGCUGUAAUACUGGAUUGCACCCCAGAUGUAAGUCAUCAAGAACAGAUGUCUGUUGUUGUGCGCACUGUAAAUAUUGACAAAACACCUGAGGUAAAGGAGCACUUCUUGGGGUUUCUUCUAGCUCCUGAAUCUACUGGUCAAGGCUUGUCUGAACUAAUUAUUCAGAGGCUUGAAGAGUUGAACAUCCCCUUUGAGGACUGUAGGGGACAAUCAUAUGACAAUGGCGCAAACAUGAAAGGUGCAAAUAAAGGUGUACAGGCAAGGCUUUAAAAAAAAAUCCACGUGCUUUUUAUGUGCCUUGUGCAGCCCAUAGCUUAAAUCUAGUGGUUUCCGAUGCUACUAAAGGGUCCCUGGAUGCCACUUGCUUUUCUGGACACGUGGAAAAAUUAUAUAAACUCUUCUCAGCUUCCCCUCAAAGGUGGGCAAUCUUGAAGAAACAUGUGAACAUCACACUCAAGUCUUGGAGUGGGACACGAUGGGAAAGCCGGGUUAAAAGUAUUGAACCAUUACGCUACCAAGCAGACAAGGUAAGAGAGGCUUUGUUAGAAGUCAGGGAAAAAACUACUGACCCUACACUAAAAGUUGAGACCCACUCGCUUGCUGAAGAAAUCGGGUCAUUCAGAUUUCACAUUUGCUGUGUGGUUUGGUAUGACAUUCUCUCCAAGAUUAACAUCACAAGCAAACUACUUCAGUCAGCCAACAUGCAGUUGGAUGUUGCAGUGGGGCUCAUUCAGAAAAACAAAGAAAAUGUAAUCAGUUACAGGGCAACUGGUUUUAAAGAUGCACAGAUCUCAGCAAAAGAGACAUGUGAACAAAUGAACACUGAAGUAGUGCUGGAACAGAAGAGGUUGCGAACGACAAAAAGGCACUUUGCCUAUGAGAUGACUGAUGAGCCACAAUCUGAUGCCAUGAAGAGGCUGGAAGUAACCUUUUUUAAUGUUGUGGUAGACUGUACCAUCCAGUCUUUGGAGGACCGCUUUCAGUCCGUAGGGGAGGUUAGAAGCAUUUUUGGAGUGCUUUUCAACUUUAGCCAACUUGAUGCACAGGCAAGGAAGGACCAGUGUAAAGUUCUCAGAGACAAACUCACCUUUGGAGAACAGUUUGAUAUUGAUGGGAGUGCACUGGCCACAGAGAUGGAGAACCUUCCAGAACUCCCUAGAGCACAGAUGACCCCCUUUGAAUUGCUCACUUACCUCUCUCAAAAUGAGAUCUGUGAGUUGUACCCAAAUCUUUGGGUAGUUCUGCGGAUAGCCUGCACUCUUCCUGUGACUGUUGCAUCUGCAGAGCGGAGCUUU